rfam:Capsella rubella cultivar Monte Gargano unplaced genomic scaffold scaffold_1, whole genome shotgun sequence.
GAGCAAGGGCGUCUAAGUUAAAAUGACGUGCAUUUGCCUUGAAGGUUGGCGAUAACAAGUUUUUUGCGAUUCUCCGUGCCUAUCAAACUUGUUAGUAUUGAUAAUGGCCUCGAACAAGUCGCUACAUU